rnacentral:rRNA from 1 species
UAAGCUCAGCAUGGAAAUCGGGGCCUCUGGCCUUGAAUUGUAGUCUCGAGAUGUACUGCCAACGGAGGCACAGAUGUAAGCCUCUUGGAAAAGAGCACCAAUGAGGGUGAGAGUCCCGCUUGCCAUCUGUAGUCCCCCGUGUACGGUGUGCAUUCUAAGAGUCACGUUCCUCAGGAUUGGAGCGCAAAGUGGGUGGUAAAUUUCAUCUAAAGCUGAAUAUCGGUUCGAGAACGAUAGCAAACAAGUACCAUGAGGGAAAGGUGAAAAGGACUUUGAAAAGAGAGUUAAAAGUGCCUGAAAUUGCUGAAAGGGAAGCGAAUGGAACCAGCGCGUCUUGGCGAGAUUGUUGCGUGCUAAUGCGAUUGCCUGCUGUUUCAGCGCAAGCGGGGCAGUAGGUCUUGAGCAGGACGUGCGUGGUGCUUCUUGCCUUGCGUGUCAACUUCAGUUCACACUUGAGGAAAACCUCAGGGACAUGGUAGCUAGCCUCCGGGCGAACGAAUGUGCCUGGGUGUACUCGAGGGUGU